rnacentral:rRNA from 1 species
UGGGGAAUCUUGGGCAAUGGGGGGAACCCUGACCCAGCGACGCCGCGUGAGGGACGAAAUCCCUUGGGAUGUAAACCUCUGUUGUGCGGGACGAAGGACGUGACGGUACCGCACGAGGAAGCCCCGGCAAACUACGUGCCAGCAGCCGCGGUAAUACGUAGGGGGCGAGCGUUGUCCGGAAUUACUGGGCGUAAAGCGCACGCAGGCGGGUUGUUAAGUCGGCUGUGAAAAGCACGGGCUCAACCCGUGUCGUGCG